GGCUCAAUGGUCUAGUGGUAUGAUUGUCGCUUCGGGUUAAAACACGGCCUGAGUGCCUCAGGUGCUCUCUGUAUGUGACAGGCCCCGGGUUCAAAUCCCGGUUGAGCCC
rnacentral:tRNA from 1 species